GAUGAAGAACGUAGCGAAAUGCGAUACGUAAUGUGAAUUGCAGAAUUCAGUGAAUCAUCGAGUCUUUGAACGCACAUUGCGCCCCCUGGUAUUCCGGGGGGCAUGCCUGUCCGAGCGUCAUUGCUGCCCUCAAGCACGGCUUGUGUGUUGGGCCUCCGUCCUCCUCCCGGGGGACGGGCCCGAAAGGCAGCGGCGGCACCGCGUCCGGUCCUCGAGCGUAUGGGGCUUCGUCACCCGCUCUUGUAGGCCCGGCCGGCGCUUGCCGACACAUCAACCUUUUUUCCAGGUUGACCUCGGAUCAGGUAGGGAUACCCGCUGAACUUAAGCAUAUCAAUAAGCGGAGGA
rnacentral:misc_RNA from 1 species